AAAGAAAUAAAAACUCAUCAGUCGAAUCAGUUUAGAAUAAUUUGAUUGCUAGAUGGGAAGGCAACGUUUACAGAGGGCGGGGCUUCACUGCCCCGGCUCACUGAAGACGACAGCGGUAUAUCUGACAGAGGAAACGGUAGGAGCACGAAGUUUGUUUCUGUGCUACAUUUGUGUUUCCUUUUCAUGUGUGAGGAUGUAGCUCCGUCCGUCACUCCUGCUCGCACCAGAGUUUUAUUCCCACGGUGCCCUGUCCAUAGUCAUCGCAGGCUGUGAUCUGGCUGCUAACUAUGAGGACAGAUUGAUGAUGUGGAAGCUCCUGCCCUAUGUGACUUUUGUCUUGGAUGUGGCCUCUCAGCAGUUAUGUGUCUCUCAACACAUCAACAUUUGAAACUACACCUAAUAAAGGAGCAAAUGGAGAAAGAGAAUCAAGACUGGAUGUGAUAGUGGCCUAUGCUCAAGUAGUUAUAAUAUUCGUUGCAGCAGUUUUAUUCUUUCUGUGGGGCCUGAAGGAAGCAAUCGAAGCUCCAAAAAUAAGGUGUUACAGAUCAACACCUGGACAGAUGUUCCUUUAUCAAGCUCCUCAAAGUAUCAACAUUUUGUAAAGUGCUUUUGCAAAGUAUGAAUUAAUUUAACUGACGAUUUAACUGCUGAUGAGAGCAGAUAUCUAACUGCA
ensembl:lncRNA